rnacentral:rRNA from 1 species
AUUGAACGCUGGCGGCAGGCUUAACACAUGCAAGUCGAGCGGGGGAAGGUAGCUUGCUACCGGACCUAGCGGCGGACGGGUGAGUAAUGCUUAGGAAUCUGCCUAUUAGUGGGGGACAACAUCUCGAAAGGGAUGCUAAUACCGCAUACGUCCUACGGGAGAAAGCAGGGGAUCUUCGGACCUUGCGCUAAUAGAUGAGCCUAAGUCGGAUUAGCUAGUUGGUGGGGUAAAGGCCUACCAAGGCGACGAUCUGUAGCGGGUCUGAGAGGAUGAUCCGCCACACUGGGACUGAGACACGGCCCAGACUCCUACGGGAGGCAGCAGUGGGGAAUAUUGGACAAUGGGGGGAACCCUGAUCCAGCCAUGCCGCGUGUGUGAAGAAGGCCUUAUGGUUGUAAAGCACUUUAAGCGAGGAGGAGGCUACUCUAGUUAAUACCUAGGGAUAGUGGACGUUACUCGCAGAAUAAGCACCGGCUAACUACGUGCCAGCCGCCGCGGUAA